rnacentral:rRNA from 1 species
GGUUUAAUUCGAUGAUACGCGAGGAACCUUACCCGGGCUUGAAUUGCAGAGGAAGGAUUUGGAGACAAUGACGCCCUUCGGGGUCUCUGUGAAGGUGCUGCAUGGUUGUCGUCAGCUCGUGCCGUGAGGUGUCGGCUUAAGUGCCAUAACGAGCGCAACCCCUCUCCUUAGUUGCCAUCAGUUGAAGCUGGGCACUCUGGGGACACUGCCACCGUAAGGUGUGA